ACCGUCUUUAUCUGGGGCUGCGCACCUAUUCAAGGAUCGUAUAGUGAGAAUAGGUCUGCUGACACCCUAUGUGUUAAACACCUAACGCACCGCUUAUAUCCUUCGGGACCGAGUUGGUGCAAUUUUUGGUACC
rfam:Lingula anatina scaffold4, whole genome shotgun sequence.